AAAAUGACUUGGAGAACUCUAAACGAACUUCUUAACAAGAAAGCAAAGAGUAAUGAGCUACCCAAAACCUUUUUGAAUACUAAUUCGAAUGACACAAUUAAUGAUCCAAAAACUAUAGCCAAUAAAUUCAACGAAUAUUUUAUUAAUAUUGGACCUAACUUAGCCAAAAAUAUAAAAAAUAACUCAGAUACAAACUUCGAAAAAUAUCUUACUGGCAACUACCCGAAUAGUAUGUUUCUAGCGCCAAUUACUGAAAAUGAACUGGAAAAUGAAAUUAAAAGUAUCGACUCGAGUAAAAGUCCAGGAUACGAUAACAUUAGCAAUAAAGUAUUAAAAUUA